rnacentral:rRNA from 1 species
GACGAACGCUGGCGGCGUGCUUAACACAUGCAAGUCGAACGCUGAAGCUUGGUGCUUGCUCUGGGUGGCUGAGUGGCGAACGGGUGAGUAAUACGUGAGUAACCUGCCCUUGACUCUGGGAUAAGCCUGGGAAACUGGGUCUAAUACUGGAUACGACAUGCCACUGCAUGGUGGUGUGUGGAAAGGGGUUUACUGGUUUUGGAUGGGCUCACGGCCUAUCAGCUUGUUGGUGGGGUAAUGGCCUACCAAGGCGACGACGGGUAGCCGGCCUGGGAGGGUGACCGGCCACACUGGGACUGAGACAGGGCCCAGACGCCUACGGGAGGCAGCAGUGGGGAAUAUUGCACAAUGGGCGGAAGCCUGAUGCAGCGACGCCGCGUGGGGGAUGACGGCCGUCGGGUUGUAAACCUCUUUCAGCACGGAAGAAGCGAGAGUGACGGUACGUGCAGAAGAAGCGACGGCUAACUACGUG